UGUGUACUCCCUCCGUUCCAAAAUACUUGACUUCCAUUUGUCCAAAAAUGGAUGUACCUAUAUACUAAAACAUGUCUAGAUAUAUCUAUAUUUUGACAAAUAUAAGGCAUGUAUUGUGGAACGGAGGGAGUAGAAU
rnacentral:pre_miRNA from 1 species